AGAGUUUGAUCCUGGCUCAGGACGAACGCUGGCGGCGUGCCUAAUACAUGCAAGUCGAGCGAAUUUUUGGAGCUUGCUCCUAAAAAUUAGCGGCGGACGGGUGAGUAACACGUGGGCAACCUGCCUAUAGGACUGGGAUAACUUCGGGAAACCGGAGCUAAUACCGGAUAAUUCCUUUCCUCUCAUGAGGAAAGGCUGAAAGACGGUUUACGCUGUCACUUAUAGAUGGGCCCGCGGCGCAUUAGCUAGUUGGUGAGGUAAUGGCUCACCAAGGCGACGAUGCGUAGCCGACCUGAGAGGGUGAUCGGCCACACUGGGACUGAGACACGGCCCAGACUCCUACGGGAGGCAGCAGUAGGGAAUCUUCCGCAAUGGACGAAAGUCUGACGGAGCAACGCCGCGUGAGUGAUGAAGGUUUUCGGAUCGUAAAACUCUGUUGUUAGGGAAGAACAAGUACCGGAGUAACUGACGGUACCUUGACGGUACCUAACCAGAAAGCCACGGCUAACUACGUGCCAGCAGCCGCGGUA
rnacentral:rRNA from 1 species